rnacentral:rRNA from 1 species
AUUGAACGCUGGCGGCAGGCCUAACACAUGCAAGUCGAGCGGAUGAAGGGAGCUUGCUCCUGGAUUCAGCGGCGGACGGGUGAGUAAUGCCUAGGAAUCUGCCUGGUAGUGGGGGAUAACGUCCGGAAACGGGCGCUAAUACCGCAUACGUCCUUAGGGAGAAAGUGGGGGAUCUUCGGACCUCACGCUAUCAGAUGAGCCUAGGUCGGAUUAGCUAGUUGGUGGGGUAAAGGCCUACCAAGGCGACGAUCCGUAACUGGUCUGAGAGGAUGAUCAGUCACACUGGAACUGAGACACGGUCCAGACUCCUACGGGAGGCAGCAGUGGGGAAUAUUGGACAAUGGGCGAAAGCCUGAUCCAGCAAUGCCGCGUGUGUGAAGAAGGUCUUCGGAUUGUAAAGCACUUUAAGUUGGGAGGAAGGGCAGUAAGUUAAUACCUUGCUGUUUUGACGUUACCAACAGAAUAAGCACCGGCUAACUUCGUG